UCUCCAUAUAACGAGCUUCUUGCAGCCUCCCAGGCAGAAGUGAACGCGCCGCCGCCGCCUGGAAUUGACCGGCGACCACUACCCCCAGCACCGGCAGCCUCUCCUCGCAACGGCAGGCAACCCCAACUCCCCAAAUCCAGCAGCCUCUCCUCAAUCUCUUCAUCUCUUUUAUUCAGAUUUUCCUCCAUUGAGCUGCUGGCUGCCGCGUGCUGCUGUUUGCUACGGUGCUACCCAUGUUGUGCUGCUCUUUGAAUGCUUGUGCUGCUUGUUGUUAGGUAGCAUGGCAUCUGGGAGCGCCACAACUGGUACAGGUAGCCAAUCGUCCAUGGGUGAGAGUGAAGGGCAGCCUGGUUCUGGUGUUUUAGAUCCCAAGUAUCUUGUGUGAUCUUCUUCGGUCUCUAAUACUAGACUAGCGUUUGAUGUAUUUUGCAAGAUGCAACUUGCAAUGACAUGGGACUAUGGGGAGAUCAAUCAAGUAUUUGAUAAUGGAGACACCAACUGGGACAGUAUUAUGAUAUCUUUCUCAUUAUUAUUUUUGUCUUUGACUCUAUAUUACAUUGCAUAUUAUUUUAUUUUAUUUUAUACAUAUUCGCCACAUUCCCAAAUGGCUGUUUUUGGAAAAUGCCGUAUCCUGUGUCACCAUAUGUGUAUCGCCAUGUCCCCAUCCCCGUUUCUGUGCUUCUUAGGUAAAGUGCAAAGUUUGCAGCAACUGGUCACUAAUGCACUAGUGUACACAAAGGUUUUUCAACAGGAGACUAUGAGAGAAGAAAAAAGGACCAACACAAAAACACAUAUCAUUAUUUCACGAGGUUACUAGCUAGAAGACGGUAUCCAGCAGCUUGACACUUAACCUUUCUGCUUCCCGUUUACAAUUAAUGCUAGAGUCGCUUUUGAUGCAACAAGACCAUGCAGUGAGCAAUACCGUUUACUAUUUCCAUGUAUCCCAAAUGUCAGGUCGCAUGGAUUGACAAGGUAAAUGGAUAUUGUCAAGAAUACAGUACGGAGGGUAGUUGUUUCUUUACUAGAACAAAACAUUAGCACAAAUACAACCAGAGUUGGACAAAUUUAUUGACCCUUUGAACUUACUAGCGAGGCACUCACUAGCAGUAUAGCUACAGUGCACUUUCACCUUUCAUCACUAUAUCUUCUAACAUACGUAUAAGCUACAAUUUUAGGCUACUCACUGGAACUGCUAAUUAACUGACACAGUACUAGCUACAGUUCUUGCCGUGCAGUGCUUAGCAGGAUAAAACACAGCUGAGGACUGAGUCCAACCAUUUGAUCCAGGUGAUUCAUAACUAGAUGCUUGGAGUUCAGGUCCUCACGUUAUUUUUUUUAAAAAGGCAAAUCAUCAGAGCCUUAAAUCAUUCAAGUCUUGAAGGGUUACUCAAAGGGUCAUCCAGAGAAGCACCGCGGCAGCGAUUAAAUAACUUCUGUUGCACAUUCCACACUCUCACCUUUUACCUACUACAAAUUGUGGUGGGAAUCAACCUCUGAAGCAGCUAGGAUACUUGGCUCAGUAGCAUGCUAUAGGUGAAGGAAGUGAUUGCUGGAAGCCUGGAACUACCUAGGUGAAACUGAGAAUCAAUUCAACAUGCAUAAAGCAAACAUGCACCCAAAAUCCACGAGGUUAUCUAUUUAAUUUGUUCCUUUGUUUCAAAUAUUUUAUUCCAUGCUUUCUACUUGAUUCAAGCACACGAAGUGUGAUAAGUUCUCAUAUGCUAAUGAGCAGCUAUGCCUCAGGGGAUCAUAGUUCUGCGCUUCUAGGACGUCGGAGUUUUUAGCAGAGACUGUUAAUGUCAGAAUGUGAGAAGUGUGAACUUUCACCCAUGACUGUGAACCCCAGGUUGGGAAGCUCGUGUUCAUUUCCGAUACCAAUUAGUUCCUUAUCUAAUAUUUAAAAAAUCAGUUAUCCCUGCCAUUCUGUUUUCUUGGUAAAUCGGCGCAAUAUGAUAUUCUUGUGCGUGCUUGCUAAGUGUGCCUUCAUACUCAUUCUUGCUUAUCUGAUUUUGGCAGCAAACAUCAGUGAUGGUCAUAAACUAAUGAUGGUGGGCAGUAGGUUUAGCACCAGUGGCGGUGCCAGCACCAAACAUCUGUGGUUCAAGUGCAGUAAUCUUUCUAAAAUGCCCUAAUUUGUUGCACAAAUAUGAACAGAACUAAGCAUGCAACCGAAAAAGCUGUGGGGUCAGCUGACCCCACAGCUUACACGUAGAAUCGCCAUUGUUUAGCACCAUGGGAGGGAAAUUAUAAAAUUUAUUUUUGGAGACUAGUGUGUGGGGAAAACGAUGAUCGUUAACGAACAUGUACAAAUUUUAGCCUGGCAUGUUUAUGAUGUUGGGCUUAUAAAUGUGUGACGGCUAUUAUGUCGAACCCCUGUUUUAGGGGUGUGACAUCACA